UAGAAUACAAAAUAUGCUAAAAAUUAAAUCAAAAUUGUUAAUUUAAAUAAUAUAAUGUAAACUAGAAAUAUUAUGUAGAGAGAUUUGCCAAAAAUAACCAGAAACCUAAAUUCGAAUGUAACUAGCUCAAAUUCAAGCAAAUGCAAAAAGAACUUAAAACGGUAGUCAAAUUACAAUUAUCCCCUUAUAAACAAAAAAAACCUGUAAACACUUUUACGGUUAUAGCCUUGGAAAAUCU
rnacentral:lncRNA from 1 species